CAGUAGCCGCGGGAAUACGUAGGGUGCAAGCGUUAAUCGGAAUUACUGGGCGUAAAGCGCACGCAGGCGGUCUGUCAAGUCAGAUGUGAAAUCCCCGGGCUUAACCUGGGAACUGCAUUUGAAACUGGCAGGCUAGAGUCUUGUAGAGGGGGGUAGAAUUCCAGGUGUAGCGGUGAAAUGCGUAGAGAUCUGGAGGAAUACCGGUGGCGAAGGCGGCCCCCUGGACAAAGACUGACGCUCAGGUGCGAAAGCGUGGGGAGCAAACAGGAUUAGAUACCCCUGUAGUCCCUGUCUCUUAUAC
rnacentral:rRNA from 1 species